rnacentral:rRNA from 3 species
AUUCUGGUGUCUUAGGCGUAGAGGAACCACACCAAUCCAUCCCGAACUUGGUGGUGAAACUCUACUGCGGUGACAAUACUGUAGGGGAAGCCCUACGGAAAAAUAGCUCGACGCCAGGAUGAAAAAAAAGUUUAACAACU